rnacentral:rRNA from 1 species
GAUGAACGCUGGCGGCGUGCCUAAUACAUGCAAGUCGAGCGAACAGACGAGGAGCUUGCUCCUCUGACGUUAGCGGCGGACGGGUGAGUAACACGUGGAUAACCUACCUAUAAGACUGGGAUAACUUCGGGAAACCGGAGCUAAUACCGGAUAACAUGUUGAACCGCAUGGUUCAACAGUGAAAGACGGUCUUGCUGUCACUUAUAGAUGGAUCCGCGCCGCAUUAGCUAGUUGGUAAGGUAACGGCUUACCAAGGCAACGAUGCGUAGCCGACCUGAGAGGGUGAUCGGCCACACUGGAACUGAGACACGGUCCAGACUCCUACGGGAGGCAGCAGUAGGGAAUCUUCCGCAAUGGGCGAAAGCCUGACGGAGCAACGCCGCGUGAGUGAAGAAGGUCUUCGGAUCGUAAAACUCUGUUAUUAGGGAAGAACGAAUGUGUAAGUAACUAUGCACGUCCUGACGGUACCUAAUCAGAAAGCCACGGCUAACUACGUG